rnacentral:misc_RNA from 1 species
GAUGAAGAACGCAGCGAAAUGCGAUACGUAAUGUGAAUUGCAGAAUUCAGUGAACCAUCGAGUCUUUGAACGCACAUUGCGCCCUCUGGUAUUCCGGAGGGCAUGCCUGUCCGAGCGUCAUUGCUGCCCUCAAGCACGGCUUGUGUGUUGGGCCCCGUCCUCCUUCCGGGGGACGGGUCCGAAAGGCAGCGGCGGCACCGCGUCCGGUCCUCAAGCGUAUGGGGCUUUGUCACUCGCUUUGUAGGCCUGGCCGGCGCUUGCCGAUCAACCAAACUUUUUAUCAGGUUGACCUCGGAUCAGGUAGGGAUACCCGCUGAACUUAAGCAUAUCAAUAAGCGGAGGA